UACGUAGGGUGCGAGCGUUAAUCGGAGUUACUGGGCGUAAAGGGCGCGUAGGCGGCCGUUUGCGUCGGAUGUGAAAGCCCGGGGCUCAACCUCGGAACGGCAUUCGAUACGGGACGGCUGGAGACCGGGAGAGGAGAGUGGAAUAGCCAGUGUAGAGGUGAAAUUCGUAGAUAUUGGCUGGAACACCGGUGGCGAAAGCGGCUCUCUGGCCCGGUUCUGACGCUGAGGCGCGAAAGCGUGGGGAGCAAACAGG
rnacentral:rRNA from 1 species